CCUACGGGGGGCAGCAGUAGGGAAUUUUCGUCAAUGGGCGCAAGCCUGAACGAGCAAUGCCGCGUGAACGAGGAAGGUCUUCGGAUCGUAAAGUUCUGUUGACGGGGAAAAAGAGCGGAGCGAGGAAAUGAACUCCGAUUGAUAUUACCCUUCGAGGAAGUCACGGCUAACUACGUGCCAGCAGCCGCGGUAAUACGUAGGUGGCGAGCGUUAUCCGGAAUGAUUGGGCGUAAAGGGUGCGUAGGCGGCCUGCUAAGUCUGGAGUGAAAGGUACCGGCUCAACCGGUACAGGCUCUGGAAACUGGCGGGCUAGAGAGUAGGAGAGGGCGGUGGAACUCCAUGUGUAGCGGUAAAAUGCGUAGAUAUAUGGAAGAACACCAGUGGCGAAGGCGGCCGCCUGGCCUGUGACUGACGCUGAGGCACGAAAGCGUGGGGAGCAAAUAGGAUUAGAUACCCCUGUAGUC
rnacentral:rRNA from 1 species